CCACCUUUCAGCACCUCUCGGCUCAGCAUUCUGAAAGCCGGGAACUCAUCUUUAAAGGAGGCCAGGACUUGAAUACAAGCAAGAAAAUGGCAUAAAAUGAAGGAAUUAGCCACUCGAGGUUGAAAACACACUUCCCUAAAAUGACAGCAGCAUUUGGAGCUGCAGGUGGGAGCACACAGCCUACCUCUAACUGGCCUGUCAGAACAGACACGUUUUCCCGUUCUCAUUUUGUGUUUCCUUAAACCAACUACUAACUUCUGGCAGAGGUGGUGACUGCCUGGGAAAGAUGCCAUCCUCAUCUGGCCCCCUUAUCUAUCAAGAUGCAAACUAAUAAAACC
rnacentral:lncRNA from 1 species